rnacentral:rRNA from 1 species
UACGAAGGGGGCUAGCGUUGCUCGGAAUCACUGGGCGUAAAGCGCACGUAGGCGGAUUGUUAAGUCAGGGGUGAAGUCCUGGAGCUCAACUCCAGAACUGCCUUUGAUACUGGCGAUCUCGAGUCCGGGAGAGGUGAGUGGAACUGCGAGUGUAGAGGUGAAAUUCGUAGAUAUUCGCAAGAACACCAGUGGCGAAGGCGGCUCACUGGCCCGGUACUGACGCUGAGGUGCGAAAGCGUGGGGAGCAAACAGGG